AAGGCGAUGAUGCAUAGCCCGAGUUGAGAGACUGAUCGGCCACAUUGGGGACUGAGACACGGGCCCAAACUCCUACGGGAGGCAGCAGUAGGGAAUCUUCCACAAUGGACGAAAGUACUGAUGGAGCAAACGCCGCGUGAGUGAAGAAAGGUUUUCGGGAUCGUAAAGACUCUGUUGUUGGUGAAGAAGGAUAGAGGUAGUAACUGGCCCUUUAUUUGACGGUAAUCAACCAGAAAGUCACGGGCUAACUACGUGCCAGCAGCCGCGGUAAAU
rnacentral:rRNA from 1 species